CAGACUACAGAGUGGAGCCAAGUGUGGAAAGCAUACGUUUGCUAACAUUUCACAUUUUACCAUCAAUGGUAAACUUGACUGUCGUCGCUGCAGGACAGUCAGCUGUUUGUCUGAUAAACUUAACUGCCCCCCGCUGAAACAACCAAGAACUGAUAUGAAUGUAAUCAAAUUAAUAAAUCAGUUUGUUGUUUGGACAAAUCAUUGUGUAUUUACCAUUAAUACAAUCUUAUGAAAAAGUGUUUUAUAUUUCCCAGGCCAGUGAUGUGGAUUAUUUAGAUAUCUUUUUGUCCCGUUGACCACUGGGCUCCUCCAGCUGGACAUGAUUGAUUGAGAUCUUGUGGAGCCAGAGUGACUCAGCAGAUUAGGACAGCAGAACUGUAGAUGUCCAGUCAUUUAAACUGCCCUCAGCUUCUCUUCCUGUUAAGUGGGCCUAUCUCUGGAUCUCUUUGGGUUGGUCUCCACGCUGUUGAAUGAUGAACUGCUGUUAAAGUUGAUCAGAUUCUGGAACUUGAAGGUUGAUGUCAGAACUCAGAAGUCUGCCAGUAAGUUUAAUUCUCAUUCUCAUCAGUGCUGGAUUAUAUUUCUGUAUAUUUGUUCUUUCUUCUGUAUGUUUACCUUCUUAUUUCAUAUGAAUCAUUAGAUCCUGUAUCACUGUAAUAAAAGUAUGAAAAUGGGGAUCAACCCAACAUCA